rnacentral:misc_RNA from 1 species
UUAAGUUCAGCGGGUAUCCCUACCUGAUCCGAGGUCAACCUUUGAAAGAUUUAACGGCCGAUCCAACUCGAACUCCACUGCGAAAUAGUUGCCACAACGCUGGGAGACGGGUCAAACAGCCGGAGACUUUAAGGCGCGCGAGAGACUCGCGACGCCCAAUACCAAGCGAGGCUUGAGUGGUGAAAUGACGCUCGAACAGG